UUUCCUGUGGCUUAGUUGAUAGAGCAUUGCGCUAACAACACAAAGGUCAUGGGUUCAAUUUCUCCUUGGGAAAA